rnacentral:lncRNA from 1 species
AGUUUGCCACCGAGCUGAAGCAGUCUUAAUCUGAGAUGAAGAAACUCAGAAGAGCGACUGCUUUGAUUUCUGCUAAGUAAAAAUAGUCAGGAAAAGGGGGAGUUUGCUCUGUUUAGCUCAGCUCAGUGCUUUUAAGGCCUUCAAACUCACGGCUAUUACGAGCUAAAAGGACUGCAGUUCUUCAAAAUUAAGACAAAUGCAAAAACAACCAGCAAAGCACAGCAAAGAAACCUUCUUGCAAAAAUUUAUUCAUUUGACCACCGCACUGUGGGUGUUGCAUCCUGCACAGACUACAGUUACCUCCAGAUGUCCUGACGCAGUGGUGCUGUGAGCUCCCAGACGUUCACAACCAGCUCAGCGACGACGCUGCCCACUGUUUGACGUCCGUCGGGCAGUUGGGAUACGCCUGCAAAGCAUCCAUGAUUUGGUUGUUGUCCAACAGCAGUUCCAUUAAGAGGUACUCUCGCUGAGAACGCACCGACGGUCUCUCUAUGGGCUUCACUAAUUCCAGUUGCAAUAAGUGUUCAAAUGCCUGAAAGCAAACCAAAAGAAAAGAUUAGGAGAAGGAAGACAACAUCGCUCUGGGCUGCACUGGUCAGUUGGAAUGACACACGAGAUGCUGUUUUAAUAGAAGCCCGUGAUGUGCUACAGAAACAGACAGACACGAAAUGUCAGCUCAGUUCUACCCUAUGCCCAUUUUGGUAGAUAGUAAGCCAUAAGAGAUGAGUAGAAGAAUAGUGUUUUCUAAGAAAAGUGUACUUAAAAACUUUUGUACAUACAAUCAAACUCAGCUUAAAAGCUACAAGAUCAGAAUAGCUUUGGACUACUGAACUGCUGGUCGCAGAGUUCAUUACCUGAACACAUCUGCCGGCCCCCACGCUUAAAUCGGCGGCGCUCAUUUGAAAACCAAGAAUCCGCCCCCCGCUGCGCUCACGUGUGAGCGUCUGCCGGACCGCAGCGGGCGGAAACCAGCAGAGGGCAGUGCAGCACCGAGAGCGCAAGGCAGGGCUGCGGCCGCUCCCAGCACGGCUCUGCCAGCACAGGGCCUCCAACUCCGCCCCAGCGCGGUGUGCGACCGCCCGCCCAACGCGUGCACCAGCAAAAAACACAUCGAAAUACUUCAGACAGAGAUGUCAGUGUGACAGCCUGUAUGGGAACUGCUGAAUCACGGCCUGAACCUCUGACUGACCACCUGAG